rnacentral:rRNA from 1 species
GUUUAUUUGAUAGUGCCUUUACUUGGAUAACUGUUGGAAUCCGAGAGCUAAUACAUGCAAAUGGCUCUGACUAGGGGCAACCCUGGAAGGAGUGUAUUUAUUAGAUGUGAAACCAAUGCUGGGCAUUCCAAACUGGGCGUGCGGGGCAACUCGUGCGUUCGGGCUCAGACACCCAUGGUGAAUCAUGAUAACUCUGCGAAUCGCAUGACCUUGCGUCGGCGAUGAUUCAUUCAAAUUUCUGCCCUAUCAACUUGACGAUAGUAUAGAGGACUAUCGUGGUUUUAACGGGUGACGGAGCAUUAGGGUGCGAUGCCGGAGAGGGAGCCUGAGAAACGGCUACCACGUCUACGGGCGGCAGCAGGCGCGUAAAUUACCCAAUCCUGACACAGGGAGGUAGUGACAAUAAAUAACAAUACUCGCCCCGACAAGGGGAGAGUAAUUGGAAUGAGAACGAUUUAAAACAACUAACGAGUAGCAAUUAGAGGGCAGGUCUGGUGCCAGCAGCCGCGGUAAUUCCAGCUCUAAUAGCGUAUUUUAAAGUUGUUGCAGUUAAAACGCUCGUAGUUGGACCUCGGAGUCCGGGUGUGAUUCGGUCCGCGUCAAAGUGAGUACUGACACAUCGGCUCUACCAAUGAGUGAUCCCCUGGUGCGCUUCACUGGGUGCCAGGAGCUGGGGCGUCGCGUGGCGGGCAACCGUUGUGCGGCGUCUUCGGGGUUCUCAUUCGUUUACUUUGAAUAAAUUAGAGUGUUCAAAGCAGCCCGCUUGUACGGGCCUGAAUAAUCUAGCAUGGGAUAAUGGAAUAGGCUGUCGGCUUAUUUCGUUGGUUUCUGAGCCAGACAGAAUGAUUAAGAGGGACAGUUGGGGGUUUUCGUAUUCAAUUGUCAGAGGUGAAAUUCUAGGAUUUGUUGAAGACGAACUACUGCGAAAGCAUCAACCAAGGAUGUUUUCAUUAAUCAAGAACGAAAGUUAGGGGAUCGAAGACGAUCAGAUACCGUCGUAGUCUUAACCAUAAACGAUGCCGACCAGCAAUUCGGAGACGUUACAUUUGAAUGACUCCCCGAGCAGCCUGAGAGAAAUCGGAGUGUUUGGGUUCUGGGGGGAGUAUGAUCGCAAGGGGGAAACUUAAAGGAAUUGACGGAAGGGCACCACAAGGAGUGGAGCCUGCGGCUUAAUUUGACCCAACACGGGGAAGCUUACCAGGUCCAGACAAAGUAAGGAUUGACAGAUUGAGCGCUCUUUCUUGAUUCUUUGGGUGGUGGUGCAUGGCCGUUCUUAGUUGGUGGAGUGAUUUGUCUGGUUAAUUCCGAUAACGAACGAGACCUUAACCUGCUAAAUAGUCACUGGAAAC